GGGAUUGUAGCUUAGUGGUAGAGUGUAUGCCUAGUAUGCAUGAAGCCCUAGAUUCAAUUCCUCAGUACCA
rfam:Dipodomys ordii contig_20462, whole genome shotgun sequence.